CCUACGGGAGGCAGCAGUGAGGAAUAUUGGUCAAUGGCCGAGAGGCUGAACCAGCCAAGUCGCGUGAGGGAAGAAUGUCCUAUGGAUUGUAAACCUCUUUUGUCAGGGAGCAAAGUCACCCACGUGUGGGUGUUGGAGAGUACCUGAAGAAAAAGCAUCGGCUAACUCCGUGCCAGCAGCCGCGGUAAUACGGAGGGGGCAAGCGUUAUCCGGAUUUACUGGGUGUAAAGGGAGCGUAGACGGUUAUGUAAGUCUGGAGUGAAAGCCCGGGGCCCAACCCCGGGACUGCUUUGGAAACUGUGUAACUGGAGUACAGGAGGGGCAGGCGGAAUUCCUGGUGUAGCGGUGAAAUGCGUAGAUAUCAGGAGGAACACCGGCGGCGAAGGCGGCCUGCUGGACUGAAACUGACGUUGAGGCUCGAAAGCGUGGGGAGCAAACAGGAUUGGAUACCCUUGUAGUC
rnacentral:rRNA from 1 species